CCAGACAGCCAGGAGGUUGGCUUAGAAGCAGCCAUCCUUUAAAGAAAGCGUAAUAGCUCACUGGUCGAGUCGGUCUGCGCGGAAGAUGUAACGGGGCUAAACUAUGCACCGAAGCUGCGGAUUCAAACUUUAGUUUGAGUGGUAGGGGAGCGUUCUGUAAGCCGUUGAAGGUGAACCGGGAGGUUUGCUGGAGGUAUCAGAAGUGCGAAUGCUGACAUGAGUAACGAUAAUGCGGGUGAAAAACCCGCACGCCGGAAGACCAAGGGUUCCUAUCCCAUGUUAAUCAGGGUAGGGUAAGUCGACCCCUAAGGCGAGGCCGAAAGGCGUAGUCGAUGGGAAACGGGUUAAUAUUCCCGUACUUGGUAUAAUUGCGAUGGGGGGACGGAGCAGGCUAAACAAGCAUGGCGUUGGUUGUCCAUGUGAAAGUGAGUAGGUUGGUGACUUAGGAAAAUCCGGGUUGCUAAGACUGAGACACGAGACGAGCACCCAAGGGUGUGAAGUUGUUGAUGCCAUACUUCCAGGAAAAGCCUCUAAGCUUCAGAUUAUACCGAAUCGUACCCCAAACCGACACAGGUGGUCAGGUAGAGAAUACUAAGGCGCUUGAGAGAACUCGGGUGAAGG
rnacentral:rRNA from 1 species